AUGUCAGAGUUGAGUAUUGCAAGGUUGCGCUCUCUAUUUAUGAGUGAUCAAGUCCCCAAAACCAUUUUCCUAAAGUUGAGAGCUUUACAUGUCUUAGAUUUAGAAGAGGCGGGUAUAGAGGAGUUGCCGAAUUCAAUUGGCAAGUUGAAGCAUUUGAGGUAUCUAAACAUUUCCAACACAAGAAUCAAGGCACUCCCAAAAUCUAUUGGCAAGCUCUAUAACCUUCAAACACUGAGAAUGCAGGGUACAUAUCUCGUAAAGUUGCCGCAGGAAAUGAAAAACUUGAUCAACUUGAGACAUGUUUAUUUUGAUGAGGAAAUUGAGAUUCCAGCUGGGAUAUUGGGGCAAUUGUCCAAUCUUAGAACAUUACGACCUUACUUCAGUGUGGGCAAGGAGAUGGGACCUGGAAUUGGAGAGUUAGGUGGCCUGAAGCAAUUGAAAGGCCAACUAAUUAUUAAGAAUCUAGAACAUGUGAAGAGUGAAGACGAAGCGAAGAAGGCAAAAUUGGAGGAGAAGAGAAAUGUAUGCGGGCUAAAAUUUAAAUGGACAAGAGACGGCAACAAUGAGGAAGGGUCGGAGAGUAGCACAAGCAGCAGCAUUAAUGAGGAACAUGUACUAGAAGGCCUCCGACCAAAUACUAAUUUGCAAAGGCUGCAGAUUAAAGGAUUCAGGGGUGCCAGAUUUCCGUCAUGGGUGAUGUGUCUCAACAACUUGAAGAAGAUUAAAUUAUCCGACUGCCCCAAUUGUGAAGGAGUUCCAGCACUGGGUCAGCUACCUAAUCUUAAACAUGUCGAGAUUAACGAGAUGGAAAACCUAAAACGUGUGGGAGCUGAUGGGCUAGACUCGUUCCCUCUUGUUGAGCAUAUGAGUAUAACGGUUUGUCCCAGCCUAGAGUCGGUUCGGAUCACACAGGGCAUUGCUUCUCUCCGUGAAUUGAUCAUAGGGGAUUGUAAUGGAUUGUCAAGCCUACUGAUUGGGCCCGAUUGCUGCACCUCUAUUCAAAAAUUGAAGAUUUGGGGCUGUCCUAAUCUAACAUCACUUCCAACCACACAGGGGGGCAUUGCAUCUCUAGAGUUGGAGAUUGCAGAGUGUGAUCGAUUAUCAAGCCUACCAAGUGGGCUCCUCCUACGCUGCACCUCUCUGAAGCUUCAAGAUUGUCCUAAUCUAACAUCAAUAUUUCCCAUCACACAGCAAAUGCCAUCAUCUCUCCGUCAACUGUCGAUUGCAAGGUGUACGGGAUUAUCAAGUCUACCACUAAGCGGGCUCCUCUCUCUUGAGCAAUUGGAUAUAUCCGGUUGCUCUUGUCUAGCACCAUCCAUUUCAGUCCCAUCAGGCGUCCUCCGCAGAUUGAUUGUUCUUAAUUGUGAGGAAUUGACAUCCAUUUCAAUGACGGCGUCAAGUCUUCUACUUUUGGAGUUGUGUAUAUGCAAUUGCAAUAAUCUACAAUCUAUUGUUCCAGCAGAUUUACAGGGCUUCCCAUGUCUCCGUGAGUUGAUAAUAGGGGAUUGUGGGAAAUUAAAAUAUCUGCCGACAGGGUUUCACUGCCUCACCCGAUUGAAGAAACUGUUUAUUGGCGGGUUCUGGGAGGAGCUCCAUUCCUUCCCUGAGUUUCAGCUUCCACCACAUUCACAACUUGAAAGGUUAACCUUGAGAGGGUGGCCUAAGCUCAAGUCUCUGCCCCAGCAAAUUCAGCACUUGACUUGUCUAAACACUUUGUGGAUAGUUGAGUUCAGCGGAGUGGAGGCUCUUCCUGAGUGGUUGGGAAAUCUCACAUCUCUUGAGAAUCUGUGUAUUCGGUCUUGUGAGAAUCUCAAGAAUCUACCUACACUCCAAGCUAUGCAACGCCUCACCAAAUUGAAGAUGCUCGAUGUUACGGGAUGUCCCCUCCUCAAGGAAAAUUGCACCAAGGACACAGGCCCUGAAUGGCCCAAGAUUGCUCAUAUCCCACAUAUCAACAUCCGGUAUUAUUGAAGCUAUGCAAUGCCCAAUGGUUUGUCACAUAUCAAGAGAAUAACGUAGGUCUGCAAUAAUUAAAGCUAUGAGAAUCCUCACUAAUCUAGCAGAACAGGAUAUUCGUCGGUCCAAGUUUCAGGGGAAACAUUGCCUUGAGGUGUGAGAAUAUUCCAUUUUUGCGGAUUACUUUCAUUCAAGUUAUGAAGUACAACAAUUCCUAAUGCACACUUUAUCGUACUCAAAAUGGAAGAACAACUGAUGAUGUGCGAUGGACACAGACCUGGUACAGGUCCAAAGAUGAAGGAAUUGGAGCACCCAGUUCAUGAUCUCUGGUGCCUACCACAGUUUUCAAAUCGGUUAAUUCGGCUCUUGGGAAAGGGUUGCAACUUUGGCCGGUUUGAGAACAAGCUUCCCUCAACAGUUUGGAUAAGCUCCACUCUGUGAAACAAAAGUCUUGUAGCAUUUGUGGCCUUGUGGAACCUUCUGUCAGAAUUCUCAUUCAUGCAAUCUCUUGGUCCUUGGCCUAUGAGAGCUCCAGUUAUCCUGAAUGGAGCGAUAAACGGGUGCCCUGGUCAAUUUGAUACUAUGGCCUUGGUUUGGAGCAACUCAAGUAUUGUUAGAAGCUUUGGAGGGAACAACAUUGCCUCCUUGUGUAAUCUGGUAUUUCACCAUUUGCCUUUGCUUUUAGGAAGUUUUUGCUCUGUACCAUGAAUUAUGUAGGGAUUAGUCUGAGUCGUCUGACAUCAAUCAGAACCAAGUGAAAACAUUCUAAAUAUGUAUGCUAAUACUGUACAAGGCUGCUAGCAGCACAUUAGAUUUAAAGGAAUCAAUGAUCAAUAUGACUAGUGCACUGGUUCUGAUCUUGAGGCUCUAGUAGAAUAA